rnacentral:rRNA from 1 species
GACGAACGCUGGCGGCGUGCCUAAUACAUGCAAGUAGAACGCUGAAGACUUUAGCUUGCUAAAGUUGGAAGAGUUGCGAACGGGUGAGUAACGCGUAGGUAACCUGCCUACUAGCGGGGGAUAACUAUUGGAAACGAUAGCUAAUACCGCAUAACAGCAUUUAACCCAUGUUAGAUGCUUGAAAGGAGCAAUUGCUUCACUAGUAGAUGGACCUGCGUUGUAUUAGCUAGUUGGUGAGGUAACGGCUCACCAAGGCGACGAUACAUAGCCGACCUGAGAGGGUGAUCGGCCACACUGGGACUGAGACACGGCCCAGACUCCUACGGGAGGCAGCAGUAGGGAAUCUUCGGCAAUGGGGCAACCCUGACCGAGCAACGCCGCGUGAGUGAAGAAGGUUUUCGGAUCGUAAAGCUCUGUUGUAAGAGAAGAACGUGUGUGAGAGUGGAAAGUUCACACAGUGACGGUA